UAGCUUAAAAACAAAAUCCAGAAGGAGGG
rnacentral:piRNA from 1 species